rnacentral:lncRNA from 1 species
UACGUCUGGAUUUCAAGACCUUUGAAAAGACCCUGUCUUAAGCACCUACGUUUGUAUUCACAGGCCACAUGUUGGGCACCUAGUGAUGCCUCGCUUCUGCAUUCAAGGAACCAGAGUUGGUGCUUUGCUGAUGAAGAUGCUUUACUCUGCCGACUCUCCCCUUCUCCAAACCAUGGCAGGAAGAUGUGCAUUUUCGUCUUGAAGAUAUUCUAAGCCAAGAAGCCCAGGAAAUCCCCACUGCAAAUGCACCACGAGUCAGCGGCGAAAGAGGCUCGCAGGAGCUGCGUGGGGAAGCUUGUGCCCCAUCUGGUUCGAGUCUUUUGAACUCCGGGGAGGAUUGCCAUACGUCUGCUGCUCGUGAGAACUUCGGCUCUUGCUGCCUCCCAUUACCAAAGAAAGGAGGAGGCCGGACUUCUGGGCGACCUCUGUCAUUCCAUACAACGCUCUAUAGAACUUCCUCCCGAGAGACUUUUCCAUCUUUCAUGGAGCAGCAGGAAGUUGGAGAGUUUGGGGCUCCUGCUGAGCGCAGAGCCUUCUGGAAGCAGCUGAACAGUGUGCCUCACAGCUUUGCUCUGUGUUUUGUCCCUGUGUCCAUGGCUCUAAGUUUCACCUAUUCCAGUGCGUGUCUAAACCACAGAUUCUUGGAUCUGAAAUUGGAAAGCUCACACCCCGGACCUCUGUGGCCAGGGGAUGUGUAG